CCUACGGGGGGCAGCAGUGGGGAAUAUUGGACAAUGGGGGCAACCCUGAUCAGCCAUGCCGCGUGUGUGAAGAAGGCCCUCGGGUUGUAAAGCACUUUCAGUGAGGAAGAACGCCUGGUGGUUAAUACCCAUCAGGAAAGACAUCACUCACAGAAGAAGCACCGGCUAACUCCGUGCCAGCAGCCGCGGUAAUACGGAGGGUGCGAGCGUUAAUCGGAAUUACUGGGCGUAAAGCGCGCGUAGGUGGCUUGAUAAGCCGGUUGUGAAAGCCCCGGGCUCAACCUGGGAACGGCAUCCGGAACUGUCAAGCUAGAGUGCAGGAGAGGAAGGUAGAAUUCCCGGUGUAGCGGUGAAAUGCGUAGAGAUCGGGAGGAAUACCAGUGGCGAAGGCGGCCUUCUGGACUGACACUGACACUGAGGUGCGAAAGCGUGGGUAGCAAACAGGAUUAGAUACCCCUGUAGUC
rnacentral:rRNA from 1 species